UUCCGGUUGAUCCUGCCGGACCCCACUGCUAUCGGGAUAGGACUAAGACAUGCUAGUCGAGCGCCUUCUAGCCAAAAGGAGGCGCGGCGCACAGCUCAGUAACACGUGGCUAACCUGCCCUUGGGACGGGAACACCCCCGGGAAACUGGGGUUAAUCCCCGAUAGGCGAAGAACUCUGGAGUGAGUCUCCACCCAAAAGACGCUUACGCCAUGCUCGUAGGCGCCGCCCAAGGAUGGGGCCGCGACCGAUCAGGUUGUUGGUGAGGUAAUGGCUCACCAAGCCUUUUACCGGUGCGGGCCGUGAGAGCGGAAGCCCGGAGAUGGGCACUGAGACAAGGGCCCAGGCCCUACGGGGCGCAGCAGUCGCGAAAACUUUGCAAUACACGAAAGUGUGACAGGGCUAUCCCGAGUGCCAUCCGCUGAGGAAGGCUUUUACCCAGUUUAGCAAGCUGGGUGAAUAAGGAGAGGGCAAGACUGGCGUCAGCCGCCGCGGUAAUACCAGCUCUCCGAGUGGUGUGGAUGUUUACUGGGCCUAAAGCAUCCGUAGCUGGCCAAGUUAGUCCCCUGUUAAAUCCACCGAUUCAAUCGUUGGAGUGCGGGGGAUACUGCUUGGCUAGGGGACGGGAGAGGCAGACGGUAUUUUCGGGGUAGGGGUGAAAUCCUAUAAUCCCGGGAAGACCACCAGUGGCGAAGGCCGUCUGCUAGAACGCGCCCGACGGUGAGGGAUGAAAGCUGGGGUAGCGAACCGGAUUAGAUACCCGGGUAGUCCCAGCUGUAAACGAUGCAGGCUAGGUGUUUGGGCGGCCACGUGCCGCUCUAGUGCCGCAGGGGAGCCGUUAAGCCUGCCGCCUGGGGAGUACGGUCGCAAGGCUGAAACUUAAAGGAAUUGGCGGGGGAGCACCGCAAGGGGUGAAGCUUGCGGUUUAAUUGGAGUCAACGCCGGGA
rnacentral:rRNA from 1 species